AGUGAACGCUGGCGGCAUGCUUUACACAUGCAAGUCGAACGGUAGAGGGGGCAACCCCUUGAGAGUGGCGAACGGGUGAGUAAUGCAUCGGAACGUGCCCAGUCGUGGGGGAUAACGCAGCGAAAGCUGUGCUAAUGCCGCAUACGAUCUCUGGAUGAAAGCGGGGGACCGACAGGCCUCGCGCGAUUGGAGCGGCCGAUGUCAGAUUAGGUAGUUGGUGGGGUAAAGGCUCACCAAGCCAACGAUCUGUAGCUGGUCUGAGAGGACGACCAGCCACACUGGGACUGAGACACGGCCCAGACUCCUACGGGAGGCAGCAGUGGGGAAUUUUGGACAAUGGGCGCAAGCCUGAUCCAGCAAUGCCGCGUGCAGGAAGAAGGCCUUCGGGUUGUAAACUGCUUUUGUACGGAACGAAAAGGUCUGGGUUAAUACCCUGGGCACAUGACGGUACCGUAAGAAUAAGCACCGGCUAACUACGUGCCAGCAGCCGCCGUAA
rnacentral:rRNA from 1 species